AGGUUUUCCAAUCUGAUUUCCAGUGGUGAUUGUCCAACAGUUUUUAUGUGACGAAGUCAUAUACAACAUUGCUGUUGAAACUGGAGAGAGAUUGUUCUACGUUAGUUUUGGUAGAGAUAAAGAAACAGUUUCGCACGAAGAAGGCUUCUACUCUAUGAACUGUCACCACGAUUCAUUUCCUGGAUAAACAGACGUGUUUGUACCUAAGAGUGAGUUAAGGAGGACGAUAUAACAGCCAAAACAGUAAUAUUCCCGAUAUGAGUGGUCACAUUGUAAGUGAACAUCAAAUAGCACACACCAGACAAAAAGAAAAUAUGUGUGG
rnacentral:lncRNA from 1 species